rnacentral:tmRNA from 1 species
GCCCUUUGAUUCCCGCGCCCGACCGCCUAUAUAGAGGGUGUCAGCUUCGGCUGACUAUGGCGAUAAACGGACUGCAGAAUAAGCCAUUCGGACCCGGGGGCGGUACCCGGCGCCUCCACCAUUUUCCAUCUGUCAUGGCAGAUCCAAAUGGGGGCGAACUAGGAUCGACGAGGGUGUAAAAGCUUUUCUUUUGCCCGGUAUGGUUCCGCCGUUAGCGGGCCGUUUGAUAGUUGCCAAUGACAACUAUGCAGAAGUUGCGAUCGCCGCGUAAGCAGCGCUAGCGCUUCACUUGAAGUCCUUGCCCUUUGCAGGGUAAGGCGGGGUUCGGAGGUACCUGGCAACAGAAACCUCCACU